rnacentral:rRNA from 1 species
UCUACGGGUGGCAGCAGUGGGGGAUAUUGCACAAUGGGGGAAACCCUGAUGCAGCGACGCCGCGUGGGCGAAGAAGUAUUUCGGUAUGUAAAGCCCUAUCAGCAGGGAAGAAGAAAUGACGGUACCUGAGUAAGAAGCACCGGCUAAAUACGUGCCAGCAGCCGCGGUAAUACGUAUGGUGCAAGCGUUAUCCGGAUUUAUUGGGUUUAAAGGGAGCGUAGGCGGUUCCAUAAGUCAGCGGUAAAAUCGUGCGGCUCAACCGUACCGUGCCGUUGAAACUGUGGGACUUGAGUAUGCGCAGGGUACAUGGAAUUCGUGGUGUAGCGGUGAAAUGCUUAGAUAUCACGAAGAACUCCGAUCGCGAAGGCAUUGUACCGGAGCAAGACUGACGCUGAGGCUCGAAAGUGCGGGUAUCAAACAGGAUUAGAUACCCCAGUAGUC